CCUACGGGAGGCAGCAGUAGGGAAUCUUCCGCAAUGGGCGAAAGCCUGACGGAGCAACGCCGCGUGAGUGAUGAAGGUCUUCGGAUCGUAAAACUCUGUUAUUAGGGAAGAACAAAUGUGUAAGUAACUAUGCACGUCUUGACGGUACCUAAUCAGAAAGCCACGGCUAACUACGUGCCAGCAGCCGCGGUAAUACGUAGGUGGCAAGCGUUAUCCGGAAUUAUUGGGCGUAAAGCGCGCGUAGGCGGUUUUUUAAGUCUGAUGUGAAAGCCCACGGCUCAACCGUGGAGGGUCAUUGGAAACUGGAAAACUUGAGUGCAGAAGAGGAAAGUGGAAUUCCAUGUGUAGCGGUGAAAUGCGCAGAGAUAUGGAGGAACACCAGUGGCGAAGGCGACUUUCUGGUCUGUAACUGACGCUGAUGUGCGAAAGCGUGGGGAUCA
rnacentral:rRNA from 1 species